CCUACGGGAGGCAGCAGUGGGGAAUAUUGCACAAUGGGGGAAACCCUGAUGCAGCAACGCCGCGUGAGUGAGGAAGUCUUUCGGUAUGUAAAGCUCUAUCAGCAGGGAAUAGAAAAGACGGUGCCUGACAAAGAAGCCCCGCCUAACUACGUGCCAGCAGCCGCGGUAAUACGUAGGGGGCAAGCGUUAUCCGGAUUUACUGGGUGUACAGGGAGCGUAGACGGAACGGAAAGUCAGAAGUGAAAGCCCAAGGCUCAACCAUGGGACUGCUUUUGAAACUGUGCAACUAGAGUACGGGAGAGGUAAGCGGAAUUCCUAGUGUAGCGGUGAAAUGCGUAGAUAUUAGGAGGAACACCAGUGGCGAAGGCGUCUUACUGGACCGAAACUGACGUUGAGGCUCGAAAGCGUGGGGAGCAAACAGGAUUAGAUACCCGUGUAGUC
rnacentral:rRNA from 1 species